GGGUAACCUAAAGAACUCAAAUAUCUAAACGGUGAGAUUCAAUAUUGUUGUGGUAACAUAAUAAUGUGCACUUCUCGCUUAGUAAGACGUUGUGAUCCAUUAGAAAUUGAUUGUAUCAACAAUUAUGAGGUUAUCAAAAGGCUUAUGUAAAGUUCAUCAUUACAAAUGAUUUAAUCUUAAAUGGUUGAAUGUAUUGUAUGGUGAGUACAUGAGAGAUUGCUUAUAACUGUCUGAUGGAUUUUAAAGGCUAUAAUAUUGAUGUUCGCAUCACUCUUUUCGAAGGGAAUGAUUAUGUGCCCGAUCAACAACGGUUAAAUUUGGGAUACCUUUUGGACCCGUCUUGAAACACGGACCAAGGAGUCUAUCUAUUGCGCGAGUAAAUGGGUAUAUGAAACCUAUUUGCGUAAAUAACUUGACUGUUAUGGGAUUACGAACAUUAGUUUGACUAAUAUUCCUCCAUCCCGGGGUAUUUUUAUCAACACACGUAGCAAUGCAUGUGGAAAAUAUACCAUGAGCGUAGUGGAUAUGACCCGAAAGAUGGUGAACUAUGCCUGAUCAGGUUGAAGUCAGGGGAAACCCUGAUGGAGGACCGAAGCAAUUCUGACGUGCAAAUCGAUUGUCAGAAUUGGGCAUAGGGGCGAAAGACCAAUCGAACCAUCUAGUAGCUGGUCCCUUUCCGAA
rnacentral:rRNA from 1 species